rnacentral:tRNA from 1 species
AAGAUUUUAAGUUAAACAAACUAUUUACCUUCAAAGUAAAAAAUAUUUUUUAAUAAAUCUUA